GGGGUAUUUAUCUUCGGAUAGAGAGACCGGCGCACGGGUGCGUAACGCGUAUGCAAUCUACCUUUUACAGAGGGAUAGCCCAGAGAAAUUUGGAUUAAUACCUCAUAGUAUAUAGACUCGGCAUCGAGAUUAUAUUAAAGUCACAACGGUAAAAGAUGAGCAUGCGUCCCAUUAGCUAGUUGGUAAGGUAACGGCUUACCAAGGCUACGAUGGGUAGGGGUCCUGAGAGGGAGAUCCCCCACACUGGUACUGAGACACGGACCAGACUCCUACGGGAGGCAGCAGUGAGGAAUAUUGGACAAUGGGCGCAAGCCUGAUCCAGCCAUGCCGCGUGCAGGAUGACGGUCCUAUGGAUUGUAAACUGCUUUUAUACGAGAAGAAACACUGCUACGUGUAGCAGCUUGACGGUAUCGUAAGAAUAAGGAUCGGCUAACUCCGUGCCAGCAGCCGCGGUAAUACGGAGGAUCCCAGCGUUAUCCGGAAUCAUUGGGUUUAAAGGGUCCGUAGGCGGUUUAAUAAGUCAGUGGUGAAAGCCCAUCGCUCAC
rnacentral:rRNA from 1 species